rnacentral:rRNA from 1 species
UACGAGUGCCCCAAGCGUUAUCCGGAAUUAUUGGGCGUAAAGGGUGUGUAGGUUGUCUUGUUAGUCUUCUGUGAAAUUCUUCGGCUUAACCGGGGGUCCGCAGGGGAAACGGCAGGACUAGAGGAUGCGAGGGGUGUACGGAACUCAUGGUGUAGGGGUGAAAUCCGUUGAUAUCAUGGGGAACACCGAAAGCGAAGGCAGUACACUGGCGCACUCCUGACACUGAAACACGAAAGCGUGGGUAGCGAAUGGG